UCGUCCAACACUAANGNAGNGAGNGAGAAAGUUCCCUUCGGGGAGCGAGUAAAGCGGUGUAAGCGCGAGUAACACGAGAGAAACCUACCCCAGGGACUGGGAUAACUCGCCGAAAGGUGGGUUAAUACCGGAUAAGACCACGCGGACUAAUGUCCGAGCGGUAAAAGAUGGCCUCUACUUGUAAGCUAUCACCCAGGGAUGGGCCCGCGUACCAUUAGCUUGUUGGUAGGGUAAUGGCCUACCAAGGCAGCGAUGGUUAGCUGGUCUGAGAGGAUGGCCAGCCACACUGGAACUGAGAUACGGUCCAGACUCCUACGGGAGGCAGCAGUGGG
rnacentral:sRNA from 1 species